GCUCAACGGCUCAACGGCUCAACAGUUCGACUUCGACUCAAUUUUCGGUUUUCAACGGUUCAAAAUGGCUAGGUGGCGUAAGCUGCCGCCCGAUCCAAAGGGCUCAGCCGUAUUCAUUCAUCCAUCCAUUCAUUCGGCUUCAACAAUGGUGGACUGUAGACGAGUUUUUGUCCGUUUUGUCCUUUUUUUCUCCGGGUCCCUACAUCGAACCAGAGCCCCGCAGCCGCCGCUCCAGGACAGCAAAAGCCAGCGAUGCCUCUUUAAACGAUAACAAUGGAGGGACUUUUCAGAGAGGUAGCUGAUCAGGGAAGACUCAGUUCCCAAGAAAUGGUGAGGAAGAGCUGUGCAUCGAUGACCUGAAGGAAGCACUUGCACAAGAGCCUCUGCAACCCGCAGACCAACAGACAAGUAGGAAGAGUAAAUGGGACACGAUUUCUUGUAGACAGAUAGAUAUUCAUUUGUGUGUUUAAGUACAGGCCACAUAGCAGGCAUUGCUGCCCGUACACGUGUGCCUAUGUGGCCGGCUUGAAGUAGACAAUGAUGACAAUGAGAAGCCUGUUGGCUUGACACAUGCGGAAUGUUGAUGAUUAUGGGAGAGUGAGAGGUGUUGGUUCAGAGUUUUUUUUGCCACUGCCUCGCAGAGCCGUGUCACCUCGUCUCUGUUUGUGAAAGGUAGGCGUGGUGGGCGUCGGGCAGGGACCUCCACAGCCUUGCACCCCGGGGGAGAUGCGAGUUGUCGUGCCGUUGGGUCUGCGCGAAGAGAGGGUCGAUACAUUUUUGUUGGGGUACAGAGCGGAGUCUUGUGGGACCUCAGGGCCAGUCACUUGAGCCAAUCACCGGAGGGACAUUGCCCUGGUGGAACAGUGUGCUUUACUUGGCUGCUCCCAAGGGCUGGGUUGUCAGGAUGUCAAGAGGCGAGGACUGGAGAGGUUCGGCUGUAGACGUUGCAAGCUGCUCGACCUGGAUGGUCUCCAGUGUCGCCCGAGGCUCCCUGUGGCGACCAGACAGAAGACCAAAGUGCCGGAGACCCUGCGGGGACUGCGUCGCCGCCUUCUCCUUUCCGGGGUUCCCGGAGAAACGCCCUGGUGCACCCUACGGAGGCCACCAGGAAUGCAGCUACUGCCCAUUCUCCAGCAAAGGCAGAACCCAAGUGGGGGCCCUUGGCCUGCGGCACGUGUAGCAAGGCGCAGCAGGGUCGGGCGAUCUGGCACCACCGAGUGCACACGGGGGGUGCAACGGAAGCGCCGGAUAUCCCGAUUUGCCCGAGUACCGCCAUCGCUCGAUCGUGUUGCAGGCGCUCCCAAUGGAUGAACGCGUCGCCAUUUUCGGCUCGUGGUGCAUCUCGCAUCCAUACGCUCCUAUUGGUCUGCUGCGGCUGUCGGUGCCAUAUCGCCUUUUAACCAAUCCUUCAGACAGAUGGCCAAUCAGAAGCUCCAAGUUGGACACUCGGCGGGAAAGUCGGGGAGAUCGCUGCCCGCCGCAAUCGGCCAGCGCUGCGCUUGACUUUUGCACCGACCAAUCGCAGCGUGGUGCCGGCCGAUCGCGGUGGUCGGCAAUCUCGCGGGCGGGCUUUCUCGUCGAGCGUCCAACCUAGCCUCAAGAAAGACUCGGUACCCAAGAAGGAAGAGCCGUAGUUCGAUGACCAGAAGCGAACACUCAAGAGCCCCUGCGACCCACGGACA